UGAUAAAAUAAUUAUUAUUAUUAUAUUUUAAAAAUCACGUGAUAGAAUUUUCUGCGUUUUAAUAUAAUUUAAUGUUCCUUGACUUUCAAUCAGUUGUGGAAUUAGGUGUUUCAUCUGAUUAGUGAUUGAUAAUCAAGGUUAUUAAGGAACACACACAUAUUACUACUAAAGUACUGAAUUAAUAUAGGUUCUCUUUUCUUACAUGUACAUUUGUUUGGUUUGAUUAUAUUUAUA